rnacentral:rRNA from 1 species
AGGGCACCACCAGGAGUGGAGCCUGCGGCUUAAUUUGACUCAACACGGGAAAACUCACCCGGCCCGGACACUGGAAGGAUUGACAGAUUGAGAGCUCUUUCUUGAUUCAGUGGGUGGUGGUGCAUGGCCGUUCUUAGUUGGUGGAGUGAUUUGUCUGGUUAAUUCCGAUAACGAACGAGACUCUAGCCUGCUAAAUAGAUCGUCGGCUUACAAACGCCGGCGAGACUUCUUAGAGGGACAGGCGGUGAUUCAACCGCACGAAACAGAGCAAUAACAGGUCUGUGAUGCCCUUAGAUGUCCGGGGCCGCACGCGCGCUACACUGAAGUGAUCAGCGUGCUUUUUCAACCUACUCUGUCAAGAGUGGGGAACCCAAUGAACCUUCUUCGUGAUUGGGAUAGGGGAUUGUAAUUAUUCCCCUUGAACGAGGAAUUCCCAGUAAGCGCGAGUCAUAAGCUCGCGUUGAUUACGUCCCUGCCCUUUGUACACACCGCCCGUCGCUACUACCGAUUGAAUGUUUU